rnacentral:lncRNA from 1 species
UCCUUUUUUAAAAGCUCAAAACUAUCCUUCAUAUGAUCAAUCUCUUAAAUAGACACCCUUCUCUCAAGUUUCAAAUUUUUUCGAAAUUUUUUCAUCAUUUUUUUUGAAUUUUUCUAGCCAUAAGUCGACCCAUAGGGUCGACCCCAGGAUAAACUUGUAAUUUUCAUUAAAACCCAUCGGACGCUCUGUUUUAUUGAAAAAUCUCUUUUUGUAAAUGAGCCGACCCUUUGCCUUUCGUC